ACAAAGUAGGUUGAAAAUCCAUCGGGCACGACUCUGCUGCAGCACCCGUUGUUGAUUUGAUAAGUGAAAACCUGGCGCAAACUGGUGACAUAGGUGCAGUGACUCUUGGAGCUGCCAUACUGCGGGAUAUGAUAACCUUACUUGAGGAUCCGGCGCUGCUAGCCUCUAAGGUUGUUAAUGACAAUCCUCCCCCUGCAACCGAGAUUGCAGCAACUACAACAGUGGUGAGUAUCAAAGAGGGGGCUGUAGUAGUCUCACAGAGUGGCAAGGAAUCUGGGGAGAAGGUUGUGCCAACUGCUGUGCUUGAGCAAGCGUUGGGCAAGAAUGUUUCUCAUGCUGGAGCUUCUUUUUCUCAGCAGCAAGUCCUUACUCCAAGUGGGAGGGCUAGUGUGGUGGCCGAGGCUCCAGUGUUGUCGCAGAAAGUUGAAAUUUUUGAGAGUCCCCGGAAGAGCUGCCGCCAAUAUCAUACUUAGUGAACUUGAAUCAGCAGUUGACGACUUAUAUCAGGUGAGUUCUUAGUGCUACGUUUGAGUACUUAAUUUUGUAGCCUGGCACCAUUUGCACUCGUGAAGAGUACUAAUUGUUUGAUUGUGCAAGAUUUAUAUGAAAAAUCUCG
rnacentral:lncRNA from 1 species